CCAAGUGGAAUACAAAAAUUAGAACAGAGAUAAAAGCACCUCAUGGAAAUAGGAACAGGUGUGCUCCAUUCCAUUUCACUGAUACAGACAUGAUAAUCAUCACCAAAUAAGAUAAAGGGCACCACUUUGAAAUCCUAUUGCCAAUCAAGAACUAAGAAGAAUGAAUAGACUACAUUAUCUCUGCACAUGUGCACGAAUUCAUGAAUCUUGGCUGACACCAAAAUGUUCAUCAUUUAUGCAAGACCAAAUUACAAUUCCACUGUAAUUACAAAAAAGAGUCAUGACACCACUGCAUUUAUCUCACCUAAUGUCCUAAAUAUACAUAAAUUGAUACCAUCCCUUGCGUGCAUGAGAAAUAUUAACUUUUUUUUUCCUUCAUCCUGCCUUCACUAGUAGUUAAGAUUCCCAAUGUACAACUUACAGCAUAAUAUUUGAAUCUUACCCUAGCUAGAGUUAUCUAAUCUUGAGUGAAAGAAUCAUUUCAUGAUCAACCAUCCAAUUUCUAUGGAGCCCAAAAUUAACAGCUUGAAAUACUGGAGAAAAUGUAUAAAAUGAAGACUAACCCAAAUGCAGGAAACCAUUGAAG
rnacentral:misc_RNA from 1 species